rnacentral:rRNA from 1 species
UGGGGAAUAUUGCACAAUGGGCGCAAGCCUGAUGCAGCAACGCCGCGUGAGGGAUGACGGCCUUCGGGUUGUAAACCUCUUUUAGCAGGGAAGAAGCGAAAGUGACGGUACCUGCAGAAAAAAGCGCCGGCUAACUACGUGCCAGCAGCCACGGUAAUACGUAGGGCGCAAGCGUUAUCCGGAAUUAUUGGGCGUAAAGAGCUCGUAGGCGGUUUGUCGCGUCUGCUGUGAAAUCCCGAGGCUCAACCUCGGGUCUGCAGUGGGUACGGGCAGACUAGAGUGCGGUAGGGGAGAUUGGAAUUCCUGGUGUAGCGGUGGAAUGCGCAGAUAUCAGGAGGAACACCGAUGGCGAAGGCAGAUCUCUGGGCCGUAACUGACGCUGAGGAGCGAAAGGGUGGGGAGCAAAACAGGCUUAGAUACCCUGGUAGUCCACCCCGUAAAUGUUGGGAACUAGUUGUGGGGUCCAUUCCACGGAUUCCGUGACGCAGCUAACGCAUUAAGUUCCCCGCCUGGGGAGUACGGCCGCAAAGGCUAAAACUUGAAAUGAAUUGACGGGGUCAUAGCUGUUUCCU